rnacentral:rRNA from 1 species
CAGCCGCCACGGUAAUACAGAGGGUGCAAGCGUUAAUCGGAAUUACUGGGCGUAAAGAGCGCGUAGGUGGUUUGUUAAGUUGGAUGUGAAAUCCCCGGGCUCAACCUGGGAACUGCAUCCAAAACUGGCAAGCUAGAGUAUGGUAGAGGGUGGUGGAAUUUCCUGUGUAGCGGUGAAAUGCGUAGAUAUAGGAAGGAACACCAGUGGCGAAGGCGACCACCUGGACUGAUACUGACACUGAGGUGCGAAAGCGUGGGGAGCAAACAGGAUUAGAUACCCCAGUAGUCCCUGUCUCUUAUAC